rnacentral:rRNA from 1 species
GGAUUAGAUACCCUGGUAGUCCACGCCGUAAACGAUGAGCACUAGAUUUGGGGGAUGUUAGCGUUCUCCGUUCCGUAGCUAACGCAUUAAGUGCUCCGCCUGGGGAGUACGGUCGCAAGACUAAAACUCAAAGGAAUUGACGGGGGCCCGCACAAGCGGUGGAUUAUGUGGUUUAAUUCGAAGCAACGCGCAAAACCUUACCAGGGCUUGAAAUCCUACGAAGGCACCCGAAAAGGUGCUGUGCCCUUUGGGGAAUGUAGUGACAGGCGCUGCAUGGCUGUCGUCAGCUCGUGCUG